AGAAUGCGCCAAGGCGGACUCCAGUUGGCAUGUGCAUUUGAUUUCUUGGUCCGCUGUGCUUACGGCCUACACGAUUCAUGGAUCAUGAUAUUGCUCAUGCCAACUUGGGCCAGCCUCGGCGCGCUCU